GAAUUUGUUGUUGUGUAUUCUAAAAAAAUUAUCGCAGCGUUCGCUGGCAGCUAUUUUGACAGAAACAAUUAAUUAAUUAUUUUACUUAUAUUCCUUAAGUGGUUUUUCUCACUUUUACAAGAAAUCAAAAAAAAAAAAUCAUUAAAGUGGUACAUUAUAAAAAUUAGCUUGGUUUAUGGAAACAAGGAAUUUCGUUUUGACCGUCUUGAGAGUUCAUGUUGAUGUGGAAUACUUCAAUAAAAAUAUAUUUUUUAAAGAAACUUUGGCUAAAAUACCUUAUGAACUUUCAAACACGCCCAAUUAUAAUCAUUAAGUGUAGAGGAUUAUGUUAGACACAUUAACAAACUGGCGUUGCGAUUGAAAAUUAUGGUGAAGUUAUUUUAGCUCUUGUUUACAAGCGGAUAUAUGAAGACCAAUUUUUCGUAAGGAAAAAACCCUUUUAUAAAAAAUGUUUUCGAAAUGUCUAAAAUCAUUAAAUGAUCGAGAACGGCACGAGUAUAUACUCAGGUCAUUUGUUUUAAAUAAAAAACAUGUAGAAUGUCGAAAGCAUAAACGUGAUAUCGACAUCAUAAGAGAACAUCAUCGUUUCCUAUGGAGUGAUAACGAAAAAGAAGUGAACGCAUCAGCAAAUGAAAGUUGGGAAGUACGUUUAGCACGACGCUAUUACGACAAGCUUUUCAAAGAAUAUUGUAUAGCGGAACUUUCAAGAUAUAAAGAGAAUAAAAUUGCAUUGAGAUGGCGUACUGAAGCAGAAGUUGUUGCAGGCAUCGGUCAGUUUCAGUGUGGCAGUCGUAAAUGCAGCACGCGUGAUGGCUUGCGUACUUGGGAGGUGAAUUUCGUAUACCAAGAGCAAGGUGAUCGUAAAAAUGCUUUAGUCAAACUAAGGUUAUGCUCAGAACAUUCAGUGCAACUGAAUUACAGAUCGAAAAAGCGUGAAAUCAAACGACUCAAAAAUGGGGAAUGUUUUAAAUGUCCCGCUAUGCAACCAAACUUAGGAAAAUCUAAAAGUUCAAAGAAUGAAAUUAGUGCAACUUGCUUUGAGGGUAAAGGACUGAAUGAUACAAAUGACAUAUCUUAUUUGGAAACGAGUUCCUACGACGCAGAGUACGGGAAGACGCAAAAUGAAAAUGUUACCAAUCUAACUGAUAACGUCUGGAAUGAUAAACUAAACGUUGAAAGUGAGACUAUAUCGCGGGAAACUGAAUUUGAGCGUUACCUGGAAGAUUUACUUUUAUAAUAUACUUUAUGUAUUAUCGCUAUUAGAUGUUGCUUCUGUACUAUGAGUGUGUGACAAGAUCCAACCACUUUUUGUAGCUGUCCAAUCUUUGCGGGCUGUGAUCCGAAAUUACCAAAAAUUGUGCCAAAAGAAUGUGCCGUUAAAAUUUUUAAAAUGACGCUUAAUGAUUUUAAAUAACGCGAUCGUGAAGAAGAGGAUUAAAGGUAUUGUUUCGUUUAUGGUUGGAGGGUGAGGAAUAUAUUUAUUUUGUCAAAACGUUUGUGACGCCCAGAGAGAAACUUCAGUGACCCCACAGAGUAUUUAUAUUUUAAAUCAGCAUCAAGUACUAUUUAAAAAACUAAGUAUGUCUUUCGAUAAAAAAUCAAUUCCAUAAUUUACGUGAAUAAUUUCUACGCUGGUGAGUGAAGACAUGGUACACUCCCUAUAUUAUUUCCAUACAAAUUCGCAGUUUGAAAGGUUCUUUAUCGGAUACGACACUAUUCGGAACAAGGAAACGGGUGCCAUAAUGGAAGUUUGUGGUAAUAUUAUAUAGACACUUAUCGUCAUUCCCAAGAAUUAUUUUCUUAUUUAUUUUUUUUAUAUUGUAUAGCCACUUAUCGUCAUUCCCAAGAAUUAUUUUCUUAUUUAUAUUUCUUCAUGGUUUAUGGCAACAGGUAAAACCAAUGAAAAUAAUUACAUGUUUCUAUUAGUUUUGCCGACAUAUUGGAAUCUCUGAGAUUAGAUAGUUUUUCUAUGUGCACUAAUUCUAUAAAAUAUGUAUUUUAUAACUAUAUUUUACUUUAUUAUCGCUUCGAAUUAUGAAGUAAGUUUGUUUUCGAGGAAAAAUACGAAAUUUCGAUAUCGAGCAAAGUUCGUACGCUUCCAUCAGUCCACAGUUACUUUAACUUUUUAGACGGUCCUCUUACAUUUUGUUUCUGGAUAGUAGGAACAACCGCUUGAUCGCCAGCAUUUCUACCCCAUUUCGUGUUCUCGAAAGACUAGAGUAAGGUUCGGUUAUGGUUAUCGUGCAGGCCGUGCAGUUAAAUCGUUGUGCUGAUGGCUUUUACAAAGGUGAUCUUUUGAACUGUUAAAUUCAGGGUUAUUUCCAAUAAAAAAACAGGAAAUAAUAAUAGAAUUCAGAACAGAAUUUCGAAAGAUUAAGUACGUAAGUUAAAUAAAUGGAUGUUAAGUAUAUGAGUACUUGAGUACAACUGGUGUUAUUCUUAAUUACUUGUUAAAAAGUGAAGUGUGUUUGAUUAAAGAAAUUUUGUUUAUGCUUAUUAAUUGUUGUGUCGGAACGUUUUCGACAUUUGAAAAUACAAGACAGGUAGGAGUCAAAUCAAUUAAGGAAAUCGAACCGAUAAAGUCUAACUUGAUAAAUUUGUGAUCAGAGAGGAAAUUUAAUAAAACUUUUGUUUACGUGUAUGAUACAUUGAGUAGCGUCGAGGAUACUUUUUUUCAGCAUAGUCUUUUGUUGGUUAAUACGUCUUUUAAUUUUUUGAUUUAUCAUUUAGUCUUUUAAUUAAUUAAUUAGAACUAUUUUAUAUAAAUUGAUAGCGUUAUCCUUUUUUCUCUUAUUUUAUUUAGGUUCCUAAUAAUUACGAAAACAUGUCUCGUCAAUUAUUUUAAAUGUAGUUUUCUAUAUAAUCUCGAACCUUUUUAUAACUGCCAAGAAAACAACCAAAAUAGGACAUAGCAAACACUAUAGCCGGGCGUUUUCCCUUUGCAAAAGUGAGUGAACUGUUUCUCGAUAUAAGAACUUCUUUUGUGAUGAUACCACCGUGCUUUUGUUAUGAUUCGGCGGCUUCUGUUAUAGUUCGCUUAUCUCAUUUAGCUCGUCCAUCUGGGAUAUAAGGCGUAGAUGGUGUCACGAUUUGAGUUUGGGUGUUGGCGGCUAGCUCGCCGCUAUUAUAUUUAUAUUAUUAUUAUAUUAUUAUAUUUAUUUAUUAUUUUUCCUUUCCGUGUUCUACACCUAAACUGUCCAACGUUCGUAUGUACGAAACGAUCACUGCACAGUUUACCUAACCAAUACCAAUAACCUCUUUUUUCUUUUCAAUUCAUUACAUAAAUAGCGGAACACAUAUAUAUAAACAAUUAUCUGUCUUGUAUUUGCAGCAGUUGUAGCGAUGUUCUUUUCUUCUCUCCUUAGACAUCCCAGCAUGUCACUGCUUCAUUUGGUGCAUUUCUUAUUUCACUCAAUAUAAUGGAAAAUAUAAGUAGCUUUUCAUUUUGAUUUUUUAAACAACAACUUUAUCUAUUGUGCUCUUUAUUUUUUCUUUAUAAACUUUGACAUUUAUUUGCAACAUGGAUCUGUAUUGGUUGUAGGUAUGCUUCUAUGCUAGCUGUGUACAUACCUUUUUUUGUUUUUUUUUCUUUCUUAUUUAUAUAUGAAUUGUUAUUUAUUAUUAUAUUUUUUUUUACUUCUCCUUGUAUACUUUAUACCAGUUUGUAAUAAUAAUUAUUAUAAGAUUUACUUCGAGGAGUCGAUUGAAUUUGACUGUUGAUUUACUUUAGUCGAGUUUAAUGUAUAAGCAAGUAAAAAAAAAACUGAAUAAUUUGUUUUGUUUCUGAAGAUAGGAAUAUUUCCUAAAAACUUAAAGAUAUCGAAAUAGUUCUGUUGUUGAUUUAUGCUGGGCAUUUUCUUUCUUUUUUUUAAGUAGGAGUUGCUCCUUCGUUUUAAAAACAUUCGCGGAUGUUGACGAAGCUGCUUCAAUUAUAUACUGGAAUCAAUAGAUAAAUGUUAAGUAUUUCAUUGUUAAGCACAUAACCCAUUCUCUGCGCGUUCCUUGUUGCCAAAAUUGCGAUAUGAAAAAAAUUUGCCUUCUUUUUUUAUUAUUAUUAUUCACUCAUUUUCUGUAGUUUAUUUUAGUAAGGACCGUGUCCUAAGUACCUCAUCAGCAGUACAUAUUGCUUUUCUAUGUUGCAUUUGUUGACUAUAAGUCUUCUACAAUGAGUACCCUCUCUACCUUGAUGAUUUUAAAGAUCACUACUGUUAAGGCAAAUGCCCUUCUUUGUAGAGUAGAAUGUCUUAUCUGAUAGCAACCAACAAAUGAUGAGUCGUGCCAAUCACGACUCGUCAUCAACGUCCGACGUGGACACGAAGAACAAAUGUGGGUAGAUUGUUUGCACAAUCUAUUCAAUAGACAAAACGGUCAAAGUGGGGGCCUAAUUGGUUGGCAAAAUUCGGCAAGACGAUGCGUCAAGCCGUACCAACUUAUUGAUAUAUUUCUUCCAGCACUUGGAACUGGAAGAAACGCUAAAAUAACAAGUGAUCAAUGUGAAUGCAGAAAAGAUAAUUUUAUUGAUUAAAAAAAUGACUUAUAAACUACAAUUCUUAUAAACUAAUUAAGAAUUAUGUUGCUAAAA